UACGGAGGAUGCAAGCGUUAUCCGGAAUCACUGGGCGUAAAGCGUCUGUAGGUGGUUUCAAAAGUCCACUGUUAAAGAUUGAAGCUUAACUUCAAAAAUGCCGUGGAAACUUUGAAACUUGAGUAUGAUAGGGGUAGAGGGAAUUUCCAGUGGAGCGGUGAAAUGCGUAGAUAUUGGAAAGACCACCAAUGGCGAAGGCACUCUACUGGGCCAUUACUGACACUGAGAGACGAAAGCUAGGGGAGCAAAUGGG
rnacentral:rRNA from 1 species